AGAAAAGGAGAGAAAAUGUGAAGUGUAAAGAGAAAAAUUGUUGAAGAAGAAGAAGAAAAGAGAGAGACGAGACUUGUCACUUGACAACAAAUAUCAACAGUAACUUCAAACACUAAGAAUAUGUUCUAAGGCUUACAAAAGAAGAUGACACGAGAACAAUUUGGGCAUGCUCUUAAGGGCUAAAUAUGUGGUCAGGGGUUAUAUGUUGACAUAAGGCAAAAAGCAAACCCAGUAAAGAAUAUAUUAAAGGGUAAAUAACAAAAGCCCCAACAUUUAGUAAAAUUCACACUGGUACCCUCAGUUUUUGAUAAAUGAAUUAAAUAGUCAUUGAAUUUUGAAGAAAUACAGACUUCAUUCAUUACAAUUAACAUUCUAAACCAUCACCUUUUAAGCAAAAUAACUUUCUAGUCCCUCUACCAUUUAGAUGAAAUAAUGUUUUAGCCCCUCAUCUUUUGACUUUCUAGGAACAAAGUAGUUUGAAUUGAAAAAUCAUGGAUUAAUUAAAAUGUUACUCAAAGUACUAUCUUAGGACUAAAGUGCAUGAUAUUUUAAUAGAAGAACUGAAGUGCUAUGAAAUUAACAAAUUGAGAACCAUUCAAUCCACUUUUGAAAAAGUAAGGAUUUGAAUGAAUUUUGCCAAAGUUAGGAAGGUCUUAGUUCCAUAAAUUAAAAUCACCUAAGGCAUGCAGUGAAAACUUAAAAUCUAGUACAGUGUAAAUUGAUCCAACAUAAUAAUAGCAAUUUAUAACUAAAAUGACCAAAGAACUUACCUUCUUAAGAUAUUUUCAAAGAACUUCCUAAGUAUGAAAUUCUAUGAGAUGAUGAACUGCAAUGUUUUUCAUGACAUGUCCAACCCUCACUUCCUAAGUAAUAAUCCAAUAAUAUUUUCACCAUUUUUUUAUUAAAAAUCCUCUCAACAAUGGUGAUCAUAGUGCCUUUCAGGUUCAAGAUGCCAAAGAACUUGCUGUAAUAGAAAGAAAUUAAAAACUAGCCAAAGAACUUGCUAUAAUAAAAAGAUGCCAAAGAGAAAGGAAUUCCAACCACACUGUUCACUGAAACCAGAAAGAUUUAAUAGAAUAUGAAGAUCUGCUAUAAUACAUUUCAAAAACUAGCCUAACAAGAAAAUUUUCAGCAUUGGCGUUCUGGUACAUAAGCUAAAAUUAUAACAUAUUUACACAUAGACAAUAGGCUACUACUAUACCAAUGCAAUAGAAGUAGAUAAUUUUAGCAUUUCACGUAAAAGGAAUUCCAACCAAACUGUCCACUGAGACCAAAAAGAUUGAAUAGAAUAUUGAAACUCGCUAUAAUAAAUUCUAAAAACUUGCCUAACAGGUAACUUCUCAGCUUUGGUGUUUUGGUAUAUAUAAAAACUCACUUAGACAUGAUUUGCUAAAAAGAUAAUGUAACAGCGAUUAAAAAUAUUUGAGUGUAGAGCACUACAAUAAAGGAAAAAGUAGAAUACCAGUUUCCCAGUUAAAUUAUAAUAGUAACAAUAAUAAAAGAUAAUGGCAAAAAACCAGUAGAGCAUUAAUGUCAUAAAUGACUAGACUAGUG
rnacentral:misc_RNA from 1 species